GGCCUUGUGCUGCAAUGGUAGUGCGUCUGAUGCCAGAUCAGAAGGUUGUGUGUUCAAAUCACAUUAAGGUCA
rnacentral:tRNA from 1 species